ACACGUAGGGGCCUGACGUUGUUCGGAAUCAUUGGGCGUAAAGGGCGCGCAGGCGGCCGUCCAAGUCCGGUGUUAAAUGGUCGGGCUCAACCCGAUCAUGCGCUGGAAACUGGGCGGCUGGAGUCCCGGAUGGGAUGCCGGAAUUCCAGGUGUAGGGGUGAAAUCUGUAGAUAUCUGGAAGAACACCGAUGGCGAAGGCAGGCAUCUGGCCGGAGACUGACGCUGAGGCGCGAAGGCGCGGGGAGCGAACAGGUUUAGAUACCCUGGUAGUCCGCGCAGUAAACGAUGCGCACCAGGUGUCGGGCGGCAGCGCCCGGUACCGGAGCAAACGCGAUGAGUGCGCCGCCUGGGGAGUAUGCCCGCAAGGGUGAAACUCAAAGGAAUUGACGGGG
rnacentral:rRNA from 1 species